GACGAACGCUGGCGGCGUGCUUAACACAUGCAAGUCGAACGGAAAGGCCCUGCUUUUGUGGGGUGCUCGAGUGGCGAACGGGUGAGUAACACGUGAGUAACCUGCCCUUGACUUUGGGAUAACUUCAGGAAACUGGGGCUAAUACCGGAUAGGAGCUCCUGCUGCAUGGUGGGGGUUGGAAAGUUUCGGCGGUUGGGGAUGGACUCGCGGCUUAUCAGCUUGUUGGUGGGGUAGUGGCUUACCAAGGCUUUGACGGGUAGCCGGCCUGAGAAGGUGACCGGCCACAUUGGGACUGAGAUACGGCCCAGACUCCUACGGGAGGCAGCAGUGGGGAAUAUUGCACAAUGGGCGGAAGCCUGAUGCAGCAACGCCGCGUGCGGGAUGACGGCCUUCGGGUUGUAAACCGCUUUCGCCUGUGACGAAGCGUGAGUGACGGUAAUGGGUAAAGAAGCACCGGCUAACUACGUGCCAGCAGCCGCGGUGAUACGUAGGGUGCGAGCGUUGUCCGGAUUUAUUGGGCGUAAAGGGCUCGUAGGUGGUUGAUCGCGUCGGAAGUGUAAUCUUGGGGCUUAACCCUGAGCGUGCUUUCGAUACGGGUUGACUUGAGGAAGGUAGGGGAGAAUGGAAUUCCUGGUGGAGCGGUGGAAUGCGCAGAUAUCAGGAGGAACACCAGUGGCGAAGGCGGUUCUCUGGGCCUUUCCUGACGCUGAGGAGCGAAAGCGUGGGGAGCGAACAGGCUUAGAUACCCUGGUAGUCCACGCUGUAAACGGUGGGUACUAGGUGUGGGGUCCAUUCCACGGGUUCCGUGCCGUAGCUAACGCUUUAAGUACCCCGCCUGGGGAGUACGGCCGCAAGGCUAAAACUCAAAGGAAUUGACGGGGCCCCGCACAAGCGGCGGAGCAUGCGGAUUAAUUCGAUGCAACGCGUAGAACCUUACCUGGGUUUGACAUGGAUCGGGAGUGCUCAGAGAUGGGUGUGCCUCUUUUGGGGUCGGUUCACAGGUGGUGCAUGGCUGUCGUCAGCUCGUGUCGUGAGAUGUUGGGUUAAGUCCCGCAACGAGCGCAACCCUUGUUCACUGUUGCCAGCACGUUAUGGUGGGGACUCAGUGGAGACCGCCGGGGUCAACUCGGAGGAAGGUGGGGAUGACGUCAAGUCAUCAUGCCCCUUAUGUCCAGGGCUUCACGCAUGCUACAAUGGCUGGUACAGAGAGUGGCGAGCCUGUGAGGGUGAGCGAAUCUCGGAAAGUCGGUCUCAGUUCGGAUUGGGGUCUGCAACUCGACCUCAUGAAGUCGGAGUCGCUAGUAAUCGCAGAUCAGCAACGCUGCGGUGAAUACGUUCCCGGGGCU
rnacentral:rRNA from 1 species